UGCGUAGGCUGUGCAGAAAGUUGGGUGUGAAAUACCUCGGCUUAACCGAGGAAUUGCGCCCAAAACUACUGUGCUCGAGGAGGAUAGAGGUGAGCGGAACUUAGGGUGGAGCGGUGAAAUGCGUUGAUAUCCUAAGGAACACCGGUGGCGAAAGCGGCUCACUGGAUCUUUUCUGACGCUGAGGCACGAAAGCCAGGGUAGCAAACG
rnacentral:rRNA from 1 species